GAUGAACGCUAGCUACAGGCUUAACACAUGCAAGUCGAGGGGAAACGAUAGAGAAAGCUUGCUUUUUCUAGGCGUCGACCGGCGCACGGGUGAGUAACGCGUAUCCAACCUGCCCACCACUUGGGGAUAACCUUGCGAAAGUAAGACUAAUACCCAAUGACGUCUCUAGAAGACAUCUGAAAGGUCAGCCGGUAGGGGAUGGGCAUGCGGCGCAUUAGCUAGUUGGCGGGGCAACGGCCCACCAAGGCGACGAUGCGUAGGGGUUCUGAGAGGAAGGUCCCCCACACUGGUACUGAGACACGGACCAGACUCCUACGGGAGGCAGCAGUGAGGAAUAUUGGUCAAUGGGCGAGAGCCUGAACCAGCCAAGUAGCGUGCAGGACGACGGCCCUAUGGGUUGUAAACUGCUUUUAUAAGGGAAUAAAGUGAGUCUCGUGAGACUUUUUGCAUGUACCUUAUGAAUAAGGACCGGCUAAUUCCGUG
rnacentral:rRNA from 1 species